rnacentral:rRNA from 1 species
AACGUAGGACGCAAGCGUUAUCCGGGGUUACUGGGCGUAAAGCGCGGGCAGGCGGUUCUGCAAGUCUGGUGUGAAAUCUCCUCGCUCAACGGGGAGCAGCCAUUGGAAACUACAGAACUGGAGUCUGACAGAGGUAGGCGGAAUUCCGGGUGGAGUGGUGAAAUGCGUAGAGAUCCGGAGGAACACCAGAGGCGAAGGCGGCCUACUGGGUCAGUACUGACGCUGAGCCGCGAAAGCCAGGGGAGCGAACGGG